UCGAAAACAAAAGCUGAUAAACUGCGCUUCCUCUCAGAUUCCAAACACUGACCCGGCGCAACAAGCAUGUGGCAGGGUCCCUGGUUCGUGGUGCUGCUUUUCAGCUGUAGAAGUGUGGGUCAGACCCUCAGUCAGUCCAGAGCAUCGAUUACCGUACCUGUCGGGAAAGCUGUGAGCGUUCGGUGUCAAGUGAAAGACAUCUCCGUCAGCAGCAGUAAUCCCCUUCACUGGUACCAACAGAAACCCGGCAAGCCUCCCCAAAGGAUACUGUACUAUGGAGAUAGCGUAACGCGGGAUUCGGAAUUCGGAAAAUCCUUCAACGCGGGAAAAACAUCAGCUACCGAAUACUAUCUCACAAUCGAAGUCAACGCUGAAAGCGCUGCCACGUAUUACUGCGCCUACUGGGUUUACACAAUAUACCACGGAGAAUAUGCAGCCUGUUUAGAGCCUGCAAUACAAGAGGUGUACAGGGUUGUCGACUCAAUCAGCUCCCUCACGGGCACAACCAUCCCCGCCAUCGAAGGCAUUUUAAGAGACUCUGCUUCAACAGGGCGCAGAGCUGAACAAACAAACGUUGACAUGAAGGCGGCGCUCCGGAUCCAGUGCCCACGCAAACGAGAAAGUUGA